UCAAACAUUUAGUAAAUACUUCACUUGUUUAAUUUAUAAAUUUUUGACCGGCUACAAGCUUCAAUGUCUUAUUAUUUUGAAAUAUUUAUUUUAAAUUAUUAAAUGAUAAAAUUUACCUGUAAGUAAAAAUCGUAAAUAAGUAAUAAAUUUAAAAUGCAAAAUCAUGGAGCUAUAUUACAACAUCAAGAAGAAAUUCAUAAAUCGAUAAUCGAUAUAAAUGAUAGCUUUAAUGUGCACUUUAAUUACAAGACACGAGAGUGGCUUGAGACGAUGAUCGAUGUGCUCAAAAACAAGUGGACGAAAUUUGAAGAAAAUCAUACAGCAAUACGAAAUAUUAAAGCUGGAGAAGAUUAUGCGGUUAUUUUGGAAUUAAAUAAAACAAAAUAUUUUUUUGAGAAACAAUAUCAUGAAAUUGAAAAAUUAUAUUUAAAUUUACUUAUUUCCAUGACUGAAAGACUUAAUGCAAAAAAAAUAUAGAAAUUGACCAAAACUUAGUUUUAAAAUUUUGUGACAGUUGAGCACUCUCCGCUUCGCGUUCGAGAAUUGAGAAAAAAUAUACCGAAAAUAAAUCUACGUCAUAAAUCUAUGGCUAAUCAUUUUAUGGCCACAUUGCGGAAAAACCUAAAAAUGUCAAGAAAUAAAUAAUAUGAAAAAGUUGGAAAUAAAUCAGAGAAUUUCGUUGUCGUCGGGGAAAAUUCAUUCAUGCUUUUAACGAGGAAAGUUAUGCAGGUCGAGGCCAAACGAAUAGGUCAUCAGGUCGGCUCCUUUCGUAUAAUAUAUCUCUACUAUAUAUAAUAAUAUAUCAACAUGACAGCAUACUCUAGGCUCCAUUCGUUAACGAUAAUAAUGUGAUCUGUUACUAUGCAAAAUAUAAACACAGACGCGGUAUUAUGCCGAGAGUGACGAGAAACAAUGUGAUAAAAAUUAGCAAACUAAAAAAAUAAGGACACAGAUAAAAAUUGGUGUAUUGAAAACAAGGGAGAAAAACUUGAGACCGAGGUCGCACUGCAACAGGAAAACUUAAAAUCAGGUCAGCUAUGACGUCAUCCCUUGUUAUAAAGCUGGCAGUGCGUUCAUUCAACCCCCGGGACAAACUAGGUCACACAGCUUUACCCCAUUGACCAAUCUCACCAGCAGCCACUUGUCUUCUCUCGUCUCUCCUUUUAUAUAUUUUU